CCUACGGGCGGCUGCAGUGGGGAAUAUUGCACAAUGGGGGAAACCCUGAUGCAGCGACGCAGCGUGAGUGAAGAAGUAUCUCGGUAUGUAAAGCUCUAUCUGCAGGGAAGAAAAUGACGGUACCUGACUAAGAAGCCCCGGCUAACUACGUGCCAGCAGCCGCGGUAAUACGUAGGGGGCAAGCGUUAUCCGGAUUUACUGGGUGUAAAGGGAGCGUAGGCGGCGCUGCAAGUCCGGAGUGAAAGUCCAUGGCUUAACCCGGGUACUGCACUGGAAACUGUGGAGCUUGAGUGCGGGAGGGGCAGGCGGAAUUCCUGGUGUAGCGGUGAAAUGCGUAGAUAUGAGGAGGAACACCGGUGGCGAAGGCAGCCUGCUGGACCGUAACUGACGUUGAGGCUCGAAAGCGUGGGGAGCAAACAGGAUUAGAUACCCUAGUAGUC
rnacentral:rRNA from 1 species